GUCAGUAAUAAUAUAGGAUCUGUGAGAGUAAGCUGAGCUAAUUUUCAAAAAUGUUUACAAUGAACAAAGUUGUAUUGCUUCUUGUUCUAUUUGAAGCAUGUUUUGGAAUCGAAUAUUACAACACACCAAACGAUAAAAUCGAUAUGGACGCAUUGCUUAAGGAUAAGGCUAGGUUUGACGUCGUAACCGAAUGUUUUUUGGAUAUAGGACCGUGCGAUGAAUUAAUACAGAUUUUCAAAGAGAUAGCACAUAGUGCAGUAGAAGGAGCCUGUGAUAGAUGCAAUUCUGAAUUGAAGCAUUUGGCUGUUCGUUAUAUCCAGGGUCUGGAAAAGAACAAUCCCAAAUAUUACGCAGAGUUCCUGAAGAAGUACGACCCCAACGGU